UACGUAGGUGGCAAGCGUUGUCCGGAUUUACUGGGCGUAAAGAGCGCGCAGGCGGUCGUUCAAGUCGCGUGUGAAAGCCCCCGGCUCAACUGGGGAGGGUCACGCGAUACUGAUCGACUCGAAGGCAGGAGAGGGUAGUGGAAUUCCCGGUGUAGUGGUGAAAUGCGUAGAUAUCGGGAGGAACACCAGUGGCGAAGGCGACUACCUGGCCUGUUCUUGACGCUGAGGCGCGAAAGCUAGGGGAGCAAACUGG
rnacentral:rRNA from 1 species